AUGCUAACUUUGGCAGCACAUAAAUUAAAAUUGCAACAAUACAGAGAAGAUUAGCAUGGCCCCUGUGCACAGCUACCACACAAAUUCUUGUAAUGUUCCAUAUUUUU
ensembl:snRNA U6 U6 spliceosomal RNA